rnacentral:rRNA from 1 species
GAUGAACGCUGGCGGCGUGCCUAAUACAUGCAAGUCGAGCGAACAGACGAGGAGCUUUCUCCUCUGACGUUAGCGGCGGACGGGCGAGUAACACGUGCAUAACCUACCUAUCAGCCUCUCAUAACCACCGGAAACCGGAGCUAAUAACGGCUAAUAUACUGCACCACAUGGUUCAUUAGUGAAAGUCGGUUUUUUCCUCACUUCUAGAUGGAUGCGCGCCGCUUUAGCUAGUUGGUAAGGUAACGGCUUACCAAGGCAACGAUGCGUAGCUGACCUGAGAGGGUGGUCAGCCACCCUGGAACGGAGACGCGGUCCAGACUAAUACGGGAGGCAGCAGUGGAGAAUCGUCCGCAAUGGGCGGAGGGCUGACGGAGCAACGCCGCGUGAGUGAUGAAAGUCUUCGGAUCGUAAUACUCUGCUACUAGGGAAGAGCAAAUGUGUAGGUAACGAUGCACGUCUUGAAGGUACCUAAUCAGAAAGCCACGGCUAACUACGUG